AAAAAAGUAUAAACAUUAGGUAGUAAUAGUUGUCUUGAAACUUAAAAAAUUUGGCGGUGCUUUAAUCUUAUCAGAGGAACUUGUUUUAUAAUCGAUAGUACUCGUUGCAUCUUACCUAAGUUGUUAGCUUGUAUAUCGUUGUGAUAAUAAUACUUCGUAGUUAUUAUUAGGGAUAAUUUUAUUUUUGAUAUCAGAUCAAGGUUCAGUUUAUACUUAGGUGAAAAAUGAGUUACAAUAUAAGUAUGUAUUACGGAGUCUAUUAUUAAAAAAUUAGAUGAAGGAGGAUUUGAAAGUAUUUUUAUAGUAAUGUGUUAAAUUGAAUUAGUUCUAAAGCAUGU
rnacentral:rRNA from 1 species